rnacentral:rRNA from 1 species
UUGAACGCUGGCGGCAUGCCUUACACAUGCAAGUCGAACGGCAGCGCGGGGCAACCUGGCGGCGAGUGGCGAACGGGUGAGUAAUAUAUCGGAACAUACCCUGGAGUGGGGGAUAACGUAGCGAAAGUUACGCUAAUACCGCAUACGAUCUAAGGAUGAAAGUGGGGGCUCGCAAGACCUCAUGCUCCUGGAGCGGCCGAUAUCUGAUUAGCUAGUUGGUGGGGUAAAGGCCCACCAAGGCAUCGAUCAGUAGCUGGUCUGAGAGGACGACCAGCCACACUGGAACUGAGACACGGUCCAGACUCCUACGGGAGGCAGCAGUGGGGAAUUUUGGACAAUGGGCGCAAGCCUGAUCCAGCAAUGCCGCGUGAGUGAAGAAGGCCUUCGGGUUGUAAAGCUCUUUUGUCAGGGAAGAAACGGGUGGGGCUAAUAUCCUCACCUAAUGACGGUACCUGAAGAAUAAGCACCGGCUAACUACGUGCCAGCAGCCGCGGUAAUACGUAGGGUGCAAGCGUUAAUCGGAAUUACUGGGCGUAAAGCGUGCGCAGGCGGUUUUGUAAGUCUGUCGUGAAAUCCCCGGGCUCAACCUGGGAAUGGCGAUGGAGACUGCAAGGCUAGAGUUUGGCAGAGGGGGGUAGAAUUCCACGUGUAGCAGUGAAAUGCGUAGAUAUGUGGAGGAACACCGAUGGCGAAGGCAGCCCCCUGGGUCAAAACUGACACUCAGGCACGAAAGCAUGGGGAGC